UACGGGGGGUGCAAGCGUUGUUCGGAUUUACUGGGCGUAAAGGGCGCGUAGGCGGCCAGCACAAGUCAGUUGUGAAAUCUCCGAGCUUAACUCGGAAAGGUCAACUGAUACUGUGCGGCUAGAGUGCGGAAGGGGCAACUGGAAUUCUUGGUGUAGCGGUGAAAUGCGUAGAUAUCAAGAGGAACACCUGAGGUGAAGACGGGUUGCUGGGCCAACACUGACGCUGAGGCGCGAAAGCCAGGGGAGCAAACGGG
rnacentral:rRNA from 1 species